CAUUAGAUGUCUGAAAUUAAAGAAUUGAUCUUUUAAAUCAUUUAUAGUAAAUAAAAGCUUACUUCUAAUGA
rnacentral:tRNA from 1 species